rnacentral:tRNA from 1 species
GGCCCGUUGGUCAAGUGGUUAAGACACGGCCCUUUCACGGCUGUAACAGCAGUUCGAAUCUGCUACGGGUCACCA